rnacentral:rRNA from 1 species
UACGUAGGGCGCAAGCGUUAUCCGGAAUUAUUGGGCGUAAAGAGCUCGUAGGCGGUUUGUCGCGUCUGCCGUGAAAGUCCGGGGCUCAACUCCGGAUCUGCGGUGGGUACGGGCAGACUAGAGUGAUGUAGGGGAGACUGGAAUUCCUGGUGUAGCGGUGAAAUGCGCAGAUAUCAGGAGGAACACCAGUGGCGAAGGCGGCUCUCUGGGCCUUUCCUGACGCUGAGACGCGAAAGCGUGGGGAGCGAACCGG